GACGAACGCUGGCGGCGUGCUUAACACAUGCAAGUCGAACGCUGAAGCUCAGCUUUUGUUGGGUGGAUGAGUGGCGAACGGGUGAGUAACACGUGAGUAACCUGCCCCCUUCUUUGGGAUAACGCCCGGAAACGGGUGCUAAUACUGGAUAUUCACUUGCCUUCGCAUGGGGGUUGGUGGAAAGGGUUUUUUCUGGUGGGGGAUGGGCUCGCGGCCUAUCAGCUUGUUGGUGGGGUGAUGGCCUACCAAGGCUUUGACGGGUAGCCGGCCUGAGAGGGUGACCGGUCACAUUGGGACUGAGAUACGGCCCAGACUCCUACGGGAGGCAGCAGUGGGGAAUAUUGCACAAUGGGCGAAAGCCUGAUGCAGCGACGCCGCGUGAGGGAUGGAGGCCUUCGGGUUGUAAACCUCUUUCGCUCAUGGUCAAGCCGCAGCUUUGGGUUGUGGUGAGGGUAGUGGGUAAAGAAGCGCCGGCUAACUACGUGCCAGCAGCCGCGGUAAUACGUAGGGCGCGAGCGUUGUCCGGAAUUAUUGGGCGUAAAGGGCUUGUAGGCGGUUGGUCGCGUCUGCCGUGAAAUCCUCUGGCUUAACUGGGGGCGUGCGGUGGGUACGGGCUGACUUGAGUGCGGUAGGGGAGACUGGAACUCCUGGUGUAGCGGUGGAAUGCGCAGAUAUCAGGAAGAACACCGGUGGCGAAGGCGGGUCUCUGGGCCGUUACUGACGCUGAGGAGCGAAAGCGUGGGGAGCGAACAGG
rnacentral:rRNA from 1 species